rnacentral:rRNA from 1 species
GCCAGACUCCUACGGGAGGCAGCAGUGGGGAAUAUUGCACAAUGGGGGGAACCCUGAUGCAGCGACGCCGCGUGGGUGAAGAAGCGCCUCGGCGCGUAAAGCCCUAUCGGCAGGGAAGAAGCAAGACGGUACCUGACUAAGAAGCCCCGGCUAACUACGUGCCAGCAGCCGCGGUAAUACGUAGGGGGCAAGCGUUAUCCGGAUUUACUGGGUGUAAAGGGGGCGCAGACGGCAGCGCAAGCCAGGAGUGAAAGCCCGGGGCCCAACCCCGGGACUGCUCUUGGAACUGCGCGGCUGGAGUGCAGGAGGGGCAGGCGGAAUUCCUGGUGUAGCGGUGAAAUGCGUAGAUAUCAGGAGGAACACCGGUGGCGAAGGCGGCCUGCUGGACUGCGACUGACGUUGAGGCCCGAAAGCGUGGGGAGCAAACAGGAUUAGAUACCCCCGUA